rnacentral:lncRNA from 1 species
AUGCUCACGGCUCCACGGCUCGUCACAAUGCCAACAUAACCCCUUCGCAUAUCGCUCCCGAAGCUUUUCUCUUGUUAACCUCUUUGGUGUAGGGACUUGGUCGACAGUAGGGGGGGCUGAGGGCUUCAAUAUUACUGGUUGAGGAGCGACCCUAGUCCUCCGAGCUUCAUGAUUCAAUUGCUCCUCUUGAUGUCGUGCGAAAGAGAUGGCUGC